AAGCUCGUAGUUGAAUUUCGGGAUCAGACUGUCGGUCGUGCCUCGGUACGCACUGGCAUUAUUGGUUCCUACCUUCUGAAGAACCGCGAUGUCAUUAAUUUGGUGUCGCGGGGAAUCAGGACUGUUAACUUUGAAAAAAAUUAGAGUGUUUAAAGCAGGCUUACGCUUGAAUACAUUAGCAUGGAAUAAUGAAAUAGGACGUUUGAUUCUAUUUUGUUGGUUUCUAGGAUCGACGUAAUGAUUAAUAGGGAUAGUUGGG
rnacentral:rRNA from 1 species